AGUAUAUCUUUAGUUGGAGCAUUUCCGCAGUGGAGUGAACAGCAUUGGUGAAAACAGUGGUUUAGAAAAUUAGACCAGAAUAAUUGGUUGGAAUAAAAGCCACCACCAGCGCUCCAGGAAAGAGGUUUUGCACCCCUUUCAUAAGGACCUCCUGUUUUAUGAUCUCCCCCCUGCCCCCCUUCAUCCGGAGCCAGGCCAGGGUCACAGAGCUGAUCACCUGUGAUAUCUCACAGUUCAGCACAACUGACUGAUUCCUGGACAGACCACUAGGGGGCACUGCUGAGACUGAGAGAGCACAUGCAUCUGAGGCCACAAGGGUUAGAUCAGACCUUUGCAAUGCCACCCAUCUCCAGUAAACUGUUCUGAAUGAGUUCAGAGAAUGGCAGGCUAG